GAUGAACGCUAGCGAUAGGCUUAACACAUGCAAGUCGAGGGGCAGCAUGGUCUUAGCUUGCUAAGACUGAUGGCGACCGGCGCACGGGUGCGUAACGCGUAUGCAGCUUGCCUCACAGAGGGGGAUAACCCGUCGAAAGGCGGACUAAUACCGCGUACACUCUAUUUUGGGCAUCCAAGGUAGAGGAAAUGAAAUUCGCUGUGAGAUAGGCAUGCGUCCCAUUAGCUAGUUGGUGAGGUAACGGCUCACCAAGGCGACGAUGGGUAGGGGAACUGAGAGGUUGAACCCCCACACUGGUACUGAGACACGGACCAGACUCCUACGGGAGGCAGCAGUGAGGAAUAUUGGUCAAUGGGCGAGGGCCUGAACCAGCCAAGUCGCGUGAAGGAUGACUGUCUUAUGGAUUGUAAACUUCUUUUGUAGGGGAAUAAAGAGGGGCACGUGUGCCCCAGUGAAUGUACCCUACGAAUAAGCAUCGGCUAACUCCGUG
rnacentral:rRNA from 1 species